rnacentral:rRNA from 1 species
UGGGGAAUAUUGGACAAUGGGCGCAAGCCUGAUCCAGCAAUGCCGCGUGAGUGAUGAAGGCCUUCGGGUUGUAAAGCUCUUUCGCACGCGACGAUAAUGACGGUAGCGUGAGAAGAAGCCCCGGCUAACUUCGUGCCAGCAGCCGCGGUAAUACGAAGGGGGCUAGCGUUGUUCGGAAUUACUGGGCGUAAAGGGCGCGUAGGCGGCGCAUCAAGUCAGACGUGAAAGCCCCGGGCUUAACCUGGGAAUUGCGUUUGAUACUGAUGUGCUUGAGUUCGGGAGAGGUGAGUGGAAUUCCCAGUGUAGAGGUGAAAUUCGUAGAUAUUGGGAAGAACACCGGUGGCGAAGGCGGCUCACUGGACCGACACUGACGCUGAGGCGCGAAAGCGUGGGGAGCAAACAGG